rnacentral:rRNA from 1 species
UUAAGAGUUUGAUCCUAGCUCAGGAUGAACGCUAGCGGUAUGCUUAACACAUGCAAGUCGUACGGAGAAGCAAUUCUUAGUGGCGAACGGGUGAGUAACACGUGGGAAUUUGCCUUUAGGAAGAGGAUAACAUUUAGAAAUAUUUGCUAAAACUCUAUAUUGCCGUAAGGUGAAAAAAGAAAUUUGCCUAAAGAGAAGCCCGCGGCUGAUUAGCUAGUUGGUAGGGUAAUGGCCUACCAAGGCGACGAUCAGUAGCUGGUCUGAGAGGACGAUCAGCCACACUGGAACUGAGACACGGU